rnacentral:lncRNA from 1 species
GUUGGCAGUUGGCCGGGAGGAGCCUGGGGGCAUGUAAGAUUGAGUGAGAUCAUGUAAGUGGUGAUGGCAGCGGGACAGGGCGCGGGCCUCGCUCUGUGCUGGCUCCCCGGGAAGCCCUGGGCGCGGGUUUGCAGUUACUGUUCUGUUUAUUGCCCCGGCCAAGAAGGACCCAGGUGGGAGAGUGGAGAGCGGGUCACUGUGGCCCGAGCUUCCGGAGUGGGAGCCAGCUCCCGUAUUCCAGAGCACCCACUGUGCGCUGUCCAACGUCUAUUAAGUCUUAACAAUGACUAUGUGAAGGAAAGAUGGGGAAACUGAGACCCAAGGACAGCAGCCAAACGGAGGAGGUGAAUUCUGAGCUAGAUGUGACCCCCAGGGCCUGCCCUCUGCCCCAUUCCCACGCCAUGCUAGGAGGGCUGGAGAAGUCAGAUACAACCCAAAGAAGGCAUGUUCUCCAGCAACCUGUUGAAGGCUCCGGCACUAAUGUGCACUGACUGGAACAGCACAGCAGAGCCCUUUGGGCCGUUCCGUGCUGAGGCCAUGUGGAUGAGACUGGGAGUGGGGGUUAUGUACUGUUAUUUUCUGUUGCAGCUGCUCUGGGCCUCUUCUAACUUGCAGGGUUACAAGAGAGCCUUGGGGGAAAAAAUAAGCAAUACCUACUGUGCAUUGAGCACUUACCGUGCUGUGGCAUCAUCACCCUAAUCCCCGCCACCCCUCUGGGUGAGGGGUGCAGUACAGAUGGGAAACUGAGGCUUCCUCUCUGCACACUCCUGCUUUGCUCAGAGAUGAUGAUUGGGGGAGGGGGGUGGAGAGUACGAGCGGAGCCCAUGAGGGUUUUGAGGUCUUUGCUCUUUCUGGUUGUGAAAUUUGGGCAAACUGCUGACUCGAAGUUCCUGUAAAAAGUUAGGAAUAAUUCCCAUCUCGCGGGGUUGUCUCCAGGGAGUGAGAUAAUUCACAUUCAAACGCUAGUUUCCCUUUCCUCGUACCAACUGGGCAGUGCUGUCCCCAACUACCCUUGAGCUGUCCAGUUGAGUCCAGUCCACAUUUAACCUUUUCCUUUCAAAUAGAAACAUAUGCUCAUUACUUUCCUUGCAAAUAGCUAAGCCCUGCCCAUACGCCCUUACAGCAGGGGCGUGAAUAUGGCUCAGGCGACUUCUUGGGCUCGGGACACUCAAAAUGCCCAGAGCCUCUUUUCCUGUGAUUUAUUUUGCAGUUCGGAGAAAGCUUUGUGGAAACUUGCUUGGAAGUUGGAAAGCCAAGCCAGUAUACUGUAGGUCGUACGAGGAGCGUUGACAUCAUGCUACUCCAAAAGGUCCAGAGACCCCUCUGGGAAUGCUUUUAUUCCAGCAUCAAGCUGGCGUAAGUGAGGUUCUAAUGUUGUCUCAUUUUGCAAGAGAUAUUGAAGGAACCAAGCCAGGGAAGUUUAAUAUACACAAAGUAGGCAUGUUAAAGGCAGAGCAAGAAUCCAGCUCUCCUGAGUCCUAGCCAAAGACUUUUUGUCCCCACCAGACUAUGUUGCUUUUUACAGGACCAUUAGAUUACAGUCUUAGUGGGUGUGUUUAGACUGUAGCUAUUAUUUCUCAAAAAUAAUACAGAGAAAGCCCUUUACAAUGCUGGGGUGGGGAGAUAGCCAGUAAAGAGCUGGAAUAAUGCUACCCGAAAGGGCCAAUUAAUCUCUCAAUUUAAUUUUAUCCAGCCCAAUGAGAAGAUCUUAAGAAGUGAACAUUUUGUACCAGUACACUCGCUUUUUAAAAUCUUUAGCUGUAUAUUCUAAAAGGCCGUGAGGUAGAGGGAUGUUAUUCCAUGAGAGCUGACUUAUUUUUCUUUAAAAAAUGGGCUGUGGCUAUUUCCUACUUUCCCAAAACAAGAAGUUAGGAUUUUCCCUGCUUCAUUAAAGAGAGAGAAAAGAGUUUUCAAAACAAAUGACAGUUCAAGUGGUAUUAG